CUCUGUCUCCACCCGCCGCCGGCCCCGAGGGCCAUGUCCCUGGUCUCACUCAAGCCUCUACAACUACACGAGGCAGGCCAGGCCGGUGACAAGUGACCCCACCUCGUGGACGAGUCCCGAAGGCCCCGGGCGAGGCCAGCUCCUGCCUCUGUGCCUCGCCCAAAGAGGACUUCGGGUCUGCAGACCAUCCUCAUCCCGUCUUGCAUUCAGAAAUAAACCUAGUGGCUUCUGGAGGUCGCUGCGGGCCAUGGUGGCCUAGACCUCAGUUGGGUAACCGAGGGCCCGAGCCUGCCAGAUGGGGAGAUCCUGGGACCCCCACCCCAGGGACGUGCCCCGCCUCCCGGCAGCCUCCCAGGUCUCGUACUGAAGAGGGGACUUUGGUCACAGCAGCUCUGGGUCAGUCGACGGGUCGGCACGCGGUGAGCUCUCGGCUAGGGAGGCCCCACCCCGAGGGGGUGCCAGCCUCCAGCCGUGACCCCUGACCACGCCCCACGGCUCUCUGGGCGCUCACCGCGCACCUGAGUAGGUUGGGUCCGAGGCCCCGUGAGGGCGCCAGGGAGGACGUGCCCUGCGGCAGCCAUGGGGACCCCAGGAAGGCCCGUGUCUCCCCAGGAGCCCUCACCGACAUCUUACAUCCACGGGCACAACCGCCCAAGCAGCAAAUCAGAGUGGGUCCCCGUCAGCCCUAAAGGCUUUUGCUUCAGAGACGCCAAGCCUUGAAAGGGACAAAACUCACUGAGCAACAUGCCGGACACGUGGGCCUGCCCGCUUCUUGGCAUUCAUACCCUAAAUCAAUAUUUAAUCUAAAGCAAGCCUCUGCUUCAUUUUGACCUGAAUUCAGGCCUCAUUGAGCCUGAGGCUCAUAACACAGCUUCUUUUCACAUGAGGUUUGGACAUGACUCCCCGCAGGACCGGGCAGCGGGCGGGUGGCCGGGGAACCAGCCUACUCUGCUUCGCUGGCUCUGUUGACAGAGGACUCUGGGCCCCCUCUCUGCACCGGAGCCUGGGCCGGGUGAGAGCAGCGGGCAGCACUCAGCACUGCACACGAUGAGAAGGCACAUUCGUUUGAACCGAGGGGCCGCCGGGUGAAUCCCACAAGCCCUGGCCCGCGUCUUUGCGAUAGGGAAGCAGCAGCCUGGUGCCAGCCCCUCGUGCCAAGCGGAGGAGCAGGGCCACCGGCCGGCAGACACCCCCUGGGCCAGCAGUUAGAGACACACCUGCCUCGUGUGGGUCCCAAACUCCCGCCUUAAGCAUCAGCCAUCAGGGAGGAUUCUCAUAGGGACCGUGUGCCAGCGCCGAGGGCUGCGCUGCGCACAGUUCAAGGUGUGCUGAGCAUGAACCGAGCGCCUGCUCUGGGCCAGGAACACUCGUAGGAGCUCACAUCAGCCCCGCGAGGCAGGGCGAUUCUCAUCCUAGUUCAGAGGACCAGAGUCAGGCCAAGGUCAUCCCACACGUGGGUGCUGAGGCUGGACGCCCGCCCACGCCUGUACGUGUCCAGAGCUCAGUCACCCCUGCCCCACCCCCUCCAGCCCAGCGCCGGGCAUUGGUGGCUAUUCCCAGAGCUACCAGGAUUGGAUUCAUGAAUUCUGGGCAAUUUGUGGGUAAAAGCAUUCUCAGGACGGGUUAAGGGGAAGCAUUCUGUCUGUUCCUCCUUUCACACAUGUGGGUGUUUUGAGAUUCAAAUUCAGCUCAUUUGCAUGGAGGAUUAUUAAAAGCACACAGGCACUGAACUCAAACUGUUCAUACAUGCACACAUGCAUGCAGACACACGUGCGUGCCUGAACACACACAUGCACACAGAGCUGGAGGAAGGAGGCAGGGAGGAGAAGGCGAGCAGGAAGGAGAGAGGGACGUGGGCUCCACACUCACGCCUGCACGGAGGCCGUUCAGAUCCUCACGAGUAGACGAGAGAGCCGUGGCUUGAUGCAGUUUCCAGUGUCUCCCCAGACAUACCAAUGUGGGGAGUAGAAAGGCGGCCUGGACGUCUGCUCCCAGAGCCACCUCUCCCACCAGACCUGCCAUGCAGCACUGAGUGGUCCUGGCACAGGACGCGUGGCUGAGUGAGUGAGGGGCCCUGGCAAGCCCUGUGCCUGGAGGAAUCCCCAGAUGCUUUGGGGUCAAGGAAGUUGAUCAGAGGUGUGGGUGCGCUCCCCACCUAGAAUUUCACCUUGAAUCUGGGGCUCCAGGCCCCCCUGAAGCCUGUGAUAGACACCUGCAGCCAAAGCCCUGUGGGGUCCAGGCCGAGAACUCGCAUGCCUGGCUCUCUGUCUGCUCCUGGGUUCGCGGGUAGAUGUCUGUCUUUCUUCCAGCGUUCUGUGCUCUAUAAUUUUGCGAGGUCUCGACUUUGGGAGAUUUGGAGGCACUAAAUAUUCAUGAGAUCCCAACAGAGGGAUCUUGGACGUGCCAGCUCCGACGGGAACAUUUCCUUUGAACCCCGUCUUUUAAGCAGUGGGAACGAGAUGCAGUUCACACAGCGCACAGUUUAGCCGUGUGGCGUAACGGUUAUUUAGCCAUGUGAUUUCAGUUUCCUCGUAUUUGUGAACUUCCCUGAUUUUCUUCUGUUACUGAUUUUUAAUCUUAUUCCAUUGUGAUCAGAGGACAUACUUUGUGCAUUUUCAGUCCUUUUAAAUCUACGGAGCCUUGUUUUAUGGUGUAGCAUCUGGCGCAUGCUGCAAGAAUAUUCCAUGGCCUCUUGAAAAGAAUAUGUUGUUCUGCCGUUGCCGCGUGGACAGCUCCGUGUGUGUCUAAGUCUAGCUGAUUUAUAGUGUGGUUUCAGUGUUCUGCACUUUUGAUCUUCUGCCAUCUGUUACUGUAUUGAAGACUCUAACUGUUAUUGUAAACAUUGUCUACUUCUUUCUUCAUUUCUGUCCAUUUUAAUUUCAUGUAUUUGAGGGCUCUGUUUUUAGGUGCAUAUAUGUUUAUAACCAUUUAUCUACUUGAUGGCUAGAACUUUUCAUCAGCAUAGCACGUCCCUCUGUCUCCAGUAACAAUCUUGGUCUUAAAAUCUGUUUGGUCUGAUUUUAGUACAGCUACUCCAAUUCACUUUUGGUUACUGUUCACAUAGUAUAUCAUUUCCAUCACUUAACUUUCAAUGUAUUAAAUCUUUGGAUCUAAAAUGUCUCGCUAUCUUUUUUUUGAUGGAGGCACUGGGGAUUGAAUCUAGGACCUCAUGCAUGCUAAGCAGGUGCUCUACAGCUGAGCUCUACCCUCCCCGCAAAGUGUGUCUCUUGUAGCUGGAUCAUAGUAGUCUAUUCAUUCAGCCAACCUUUACCUGUUGACUAGAAUGUUUAAUCCAUUUACAUUUAAUAUAAUUGCUGCUAAGGCAGAAUUUACAUCUGCCAGUUUGGUAUUUGCCUUCUACAUGUCUCCUCUCUAUUUUUCCUUUACUGUCGUUUUUUGGUUGAGUGAAUAUUUUCUAGUGUACCACUUUAAGUCCCUUGUUUUGCUUUUGUUGUAUAUUUUUUCAGUUAUUUUUGUUAGUCAUUACCCUAGGAUCAGUGUAUACUCCACAUUUAGACUAAAUCUCAGUGACAUACAGAAAUGACUCCUGUAUCGAUCUAGUCCCUCCCCGCCCCUGUGCUCUGAUUAUACAAAUUACGUCCAUGCAUGUGACAAACUCAAAAAUGCAUUUUUGCAGAUAUGACUUUACAAAAUUUUGUCUCAAAUUUUAAGGAAGUUGAGAGAAGAAAGGAGAGCAAGUAUAUGUUUAGAGUUUAUUAUUUUAACUUUUUAUUUACUAUUUCUGGUUCUCUACAUCUUCCUGUGGAUCAAGGUGUCAUUUCCUUACUUUACUGCCUCCUUGGCUCCAUUAAGUAUAUGUUAAGUAUGCUCCAUUUCUGUACAUUACAGGCCAACAGUACCAUCGUGUACAUCUUGUUUUAUGCAACUGCUUUUAAAUCAGCUAAGAGAAGAGAGGAGAAAAAAUAGGUAAUACACUGUCUUUUGUAAUUACCUAUGUAAUUACCCUUGUUGGUACUUUUUGUUUCUUGAUGUGGAUUUGAAUUACUGUCUGGUGUCACUUACUUUCAACCCGACCAUCCUCCUUCAGCAUUUCUUGCGAGGCAGGUCUGCUAGCAAGGAAUCUUUCUGCUUUUACUUAUCUCAGAAUAUCUUAUUUUCUCCUCCACUUACGAAAAUAGUGCCGAAUGUAAGAUUCUUGGUUGACAGUUUUCUUUCCACUCUUUGAAUGCGUCAUGCCCUUGCUUUCCAUCCCACAUUUUCCUGGUUAGAAGUCGGAUGUUAGUAUUAUUUGAGUUCCGUUGUCCGGGGUGAGUCACUGCCCUCUUGCUGAUCUCAGGAGUCUCCUUUCGUUGCUGACUCUCGUCGCUUUAAGUGCGCUGCGUCUGGGUGUGAGUCUUGCUCCGUGUAUCCUACGUGUGGUUUACUGAGCUUGUCGGGUGUGGAGAUUUUUGUUUUCUCAAAGUCAUUGUGACUUUCAGUAUCUUUUCUGCUUCCUUCUUUCUCGUCUCGUCCUGGUACCCUCAUUACACACACGUCAGUGCCACCUCACACGCACUGAUCAUUGGUCAACUAGGGUGGGGUCUCUGCUGGAAGGGCUCUUCUGCAAAGCUAAGAUUUCACUGAGAAAAUAGCGACACCAUCCUUUUCUCCCUGGGGUAUUUUUUAACUGUUUUCAGAAACAUUGCUCAAGUGAAAAUUCUGAGAAUUCAGUUCACAGGCGCACGAGAACCUGCCUGCGCAGAGUUGCUCUAAAUUAGGCCACCAGCAUCACAUGCCACAUGCCGGGCUCUUUGUGUCUCUCCAUUUGGAAGUAAGAGGGUUUGUCGCCGUUUUUAAAAGACAGCUGCUUGUGAAUUACGCCAGAGCUGCUGCUCAACUCGCAUUUAAAAAUUAGUUUCAAAAUCCAAAGCAGCAGUUUUCAAAAUCUCUCCUGCUCCAACCAACUCAGACCAACCCCCUCAUACCUAAUUAAUUCCCUAUUAAUACUUGAGUCUUUCAUCUUGCCAGUAUAGCCGCAAAAGUGCUGAGAUUAUCUCUAUUAGCUGCUUACCAGGCAUCGGUGCGCCUUUGGAAACGCUCACAGUUGCUCUACCAGCACACCCCAUCACGGGCUGGCCUUCUGCGGUUUCCUGGGAAACCAACACACAUCGCUACUUCAGAUCACACAGGAAACUUACAAAAAAAAAAA